GUGACGAUCUUUCAGGGCGGAACCAAAAGUUGAGGAAGUUUUGGUUCCGCCCGGAUGUUUCCGUCCAGACCGGAAAAACAGGAACACCGGACAUCCGGCAGCUCCGCGAAGGCUGUAAUCAGCCGAUUGGGCACAGCUGUGCCUAGUUAAAGAGAUCGCCGGGCAAUUGGACAACUGGAGCACAGAGAGGAGUAUAAAAAGCACAGUUAGAUCACAGUUGAGGGUCGUAGUGUGUGCUGAGGAACGGAGCUGUGCUCAUUGUUAGACGUGGUGGCUGUCUGUAUUUCUCUCUCUCUCCCUCUCUCGUUAUAGUUUACGGUGGACCUGCUGGAGUAAACGGAAGAUCCUAUGGGUAAACAGGAACUUUGGUCUAACCAGUACUUUUGAAGGAGUAAAGCAGGAAGAAAAUUGAUCUUGUUGUACAACGUAAACAGAGGCUAUUUGCUGUGAGUAUACCCUUUUGGUGUGGAGUAACUUGCAAAAAUUAACCUGUGUAACCGUUGGAGACCUCCAGGAGAAGGAGGGCGGCCCUACCCCUACAAUAGUGUGGUGGGCGAGCCGUUAGAAGGUAAAUCCAAACAGCCACAGCAACGAGACUUAUUUUGGUCGUAUUUUCCAUCGCCCCUAUCUCAGCCCAAGCGCAGUGGAGGACACCGGGCGCUUCCCUUGUUGUGUCGCACUUAUAGUGUGGUGAGUGAGACUUGCAAUUAAUAAGCUUUUCACGUUUGGAGUGGUGCUGUGUAUUUGCUGUGGGUUGCUGUGUGUCUUAUUAGACGAAGCCCCGCAUCAUCCAUUUCUUCUACUGGGCAGAGGACGGAGAGGCUAACGACCUCAGAAAUUACUGUUACUAUACGUAGUGUGCUGUUUCGGAGUACGAAGGAACGCAGACCAAGAGCUGUCAGUGACUGUGAGUAAAAUAUUGGAAAUAUUCGUGGUGUAAACUUACCUGUGUCUGUUUUGUCGCAGAGUCAGAGGCGAAAGGGUCCGCCGCCCCCGCGGUCUCUACAAAGGGGCGCCCCUGUCCAGGACUCGAUCGGCCUACGGGCAGUGGAGAUAGGGCAGCGCUCGACCCGGUGAGGUGGUGUGUGACCUUCGCCCCUCUGCUGACCUACGGAGGAAACCAUACCUGCCCAGAAGGCUGUAAACAGCAGAGCCGCGGCCACCUGUGGAGAGAGAGAAGAACGAGAGUGAAUAAUUGGAGAGCAGACUGUGAACGUGAUACCUACCCAGAGAGCUGUAAGCAGCAGAGCCGUGACCACCUGGGGGGCACAAGGAGGACGAGGGUGGACGUACGACAGGGAACGUAAAGGCACGCGGGGCGAGGACCCCCUGCCGACCCGAGGAAAGAUACACAGACAGUGGACAAAUCUCCUUACCAGUCACACUGACACUAUUCUGCCUCCAGGAAGGAAGAAGGAGGGCGCCACGGUUAGCAGGGUCCAGGCCGGAGCCUGACGUUUCCCUCUCUCCCCCGGCUUAUGGUGGUUGGCACCCCUGUUGCCCUUGCCCUGUUUGCCAGUGGCUGCAGUCUCCCUGGAGGGAGGAGAAGAAACCUAUUAGUUUUAAUUUUCCCUUUCCCCAAUUCCCCAGUUCUUUUAAAUAUUUAAACUAAAUAAAGCUUGUUUUAAAUUUUACUUACCUGUUCCCGUGUUUGUCUGGUCAUUGGGUUGGCUUUGGGGACCUCCUCGAGGUGGGAGUUGCAAAGGG